rnacentral:rRNA from 1 species
AUUGAGCGCUGGCGGCGUGCUUAACACAUGCAAGUCGAUCGGUAACGCGGGGGCAACCCUGGCGACGGGAGGCGGACGGGUGAGGAACGCUUGGGAAUCUGCCUAUCAGCGGGGGACAACACGGGGAAACUCGUGCUAAUACCGCAUACGCUCUACGGAGGAAAGCAGGGGACCGCAAGGCCUGGCACUGAUAGAUGAGCCCAAGCCGGAUUAGCUAGUUGGCGGGGUAACGGCCCACCAAGGCGACGAUCCGUAGCUGGUGUGAGCGGACGGUCAGCCACACUAGGAGUGAGACACGGGCCGGACUCCUACGGGAGUCAGCAGUGGGGAAUUUUGGACAAUGGGGGCAACCCUGAUCCAGCCAUGCCGCGUGCGGGAAGAAGGCCUUCGGGUUGUAAACCGCUUUUGUUCGGGAAGAAAAGGCCAAGGCUAAUAUCCUUGGUUCUUGACGGUACCGGGAGAAUAAGCACCGGCUAACUACGUGCCAGCCGCCGCGGUAAAAC